rnacentral:misc_RNA from 1 species
GGGUCUUUGUUAUGAUAAUAAGAAGAAUAGGAGCUAAGGGAAAUAACUAAAGGUUGUUAAGUCGGACUUUGUAACUGAUUAGCAACUAAAGUUGUUAGAAAAGUCGGGCUUUGUUGUAACAAUUGAGAGGCCGACUAUAAAUAUAAACAUAACAUGAGAAAGGAAGCAAUUGUGAUCGAUAAAGAAAAUAUUAUUCUUUUCUCAUCUAUUCUUUCUCUAUUUCUCAUCCUUAUUUCUUCUACUAUCUCAUGUCCCAUUCUCGAAGCAGAAAUCCUAACUCAGGAAUUUUGUGACAAACUUCUCCUCGCUUCU